rnacentral:rRNA from 1 species
GUUCCUUUGAUUUUGGGGAAGAUAUAAAGCGAGUAACACUUAUAAUACAUGCUAGGAAUACAAUGCAGUCCAUAGAAUAACCUUUAGGGGUAAGAUAUGCUUAUGUUUCGUACAGGUGAGUAAUAUUUCGGAACCAACCAGUUGGAUAUAAAAUUAAAAAAUUGAUGGGUCGGAAUCGUAUUAGGUGAUUAGAGCCAAUGAUGCGUAGCUGAGGGGCCACAUUUCCACUGAAACAAGGGGGAAACUCGAAAAGAGGCAGCAGUAGAGAAUAUUGUACAAUGUAUGAAAGUAUGAUACAGAGAUGUUACAUUUGAGAAGACUAUCAAAUUUAUGUGCCAGCAGAUGCGGUUAUACAUAGGGUCUAAGUUUUUAUAAGAAAAGGCGUAAAGUGUGUAUAGGUGUAAGUGUUUUAAAGGGGUAAAUAGAAUUAAAAUUAAGUAGUAGUAAAAUGCUUUAAUAUUAAUAAGAAUACCAAAGGUGAAAGCAAUUUGCUAGUUAAAACAGACGCUGAAACACGAAAGUAAGGGGAGCAAACAGGAUUAGAGACCCUGGUAGUCCUUACUGUAAACUAUGAUUAGUAGAUUAUUAAUAUUUUAUUAAUAAUCAACGAAAACUUAAGAAAAUUCCGCCUGAAGUCUACGAUCGCAAGAUUAAUAUUCAAAAAAUUUGGCGGUUCACUAAUCCAAUUAGAGGAGCGUGUAGUUUAAUUCGAUGAUCCGCGAAUAAUCUUACCAAGAUUUGAAUAUAAAGUAAAUUAAGGAGUUUAUUACUUUAAAAUACAGGUAUUGCAUGGCCGUCGUCAGUUUGUGUUAUAAAAGGAGUAGAACGAACUUAGCCCUUAAUUAAAAUUAUUUAAAUAAUAAAAUUUUUAAUUUAAGGAUGACGUCAGGUCCUUAUGAUCCUAAUAUUUUGGGCUAUAUAUGCGCUACAGUCUUAUAUACAAAAAGGUUUAAGUAAGCUUUAAAGUAGGAGUUCAAAAAACUUUUUGAAAUUUAAAGUUUGAAGUUGGAUUUAAUAGUAAUCGAAAAGUAGAGCGUUUCGGUGAAUAUGGCUCUAGUGUUCGUACAAAUCGCCCGUCACCUCCACUAAAUAAAUAAUUUAAAAGUAUUAUAUUAAAAUUAAAAAUAAAAAAUAUUUAGUAUAAUUUAAAAAGUUUUAAUUUGAAGCUAAUAUUAAAGAAAGUUUAUAAGGUUGAGGAAGUCGUAACAUAGUGAGGGUAUUGGAAAAUGCUCUCGGAUUAAU